UACAAGCAGGAACUAAUAAAUGACAUGCUUUACAAUAGGUUUCUGAAUCAAAUGAAGCAGAUCAUCAGCUACUUCACUCUUUAUCAAAACCUUUAGAAAGCAAGGAUGUCAAAUGUUGUCGCUGUACAAAAUAUAGUGGCUUGUCUGAACCAUUAGUUGCUUGGAGGACACUCACAGGUGGAAGCUUAUCAAAGAACAUCUUCUUUCAUCCCGUGUCUACCCUUGUCUCCGACUAAUACAAGGACUACAAAAAGUGCACAAGUUAGGUUCGAUGAUGAUGAUGAAUGUGCAUAUGGCAACCAUAGGUGGAGAAUGUGUUUUGAUAGUUGUUGAUGCUUGCGAGAUUCCGGAAAAGGGUACAGGAGCAACAUGAAGAAUAUGAGAUGCUUCUUGUUUGGUUGAAUAUUUUCUAUCUUUCAGGCUACAUGAGAAACAUGAAGAAUAUAGGAUGCUUCUUGUUUGGUUGAAAAACAUUGUUGGGCAAUUGCAUCUACAAGUGGUCAUUCUAGAUAUGGCAUGCUGAAAAACACUACAACUCCAAC